ensembl:lncRNA
AGCAUCACUGGGCAUGAGACCCAGUCCCAGGUGCCACACCUGGUGCAGGCCCCGGCCCCACCAGAGCAGUAAAUGCGCUCUGCUCACUGUCCACAGGACGCAGAGAUCUCAGCCUUGAGGUUGCAGACCAUCCUGAGGAGAGUGCUGGCGAAGCGUGAGUGUGCCUCACCCCCUGUGGAUCCAGGGGACACGGCCCUCCCCAGCUGGCUGCCCCGGCCUCCUCAGGCCACGGCUGGGGAGAGUCUGAGGGACUCAGUGGCUAGAGUACAGGUUUCCCGGCCCCAGAGGGGCAAAGCUGGCCGCCCUCCGCCAGCCGGCCUGGCACCUGACCACACCCAAGGCUGUCUGACUCUGUCUCCUCGUCUUCUUAAAAAUGGCCCAGUGUCUCAGGGGAGGUGACACGCCGGGACCCACAUGGCUACAGUGACCCUGGGAGUCAGGAAGCACCCAGAGCUGCCCAGCUGUCUGGCUACCUUUAGUGGGAAUCUGUAGUGAUGCCUCACUGAUUGGCAUAAGGGAGAAUCAACGUCCCAUCUCACAACAGGCAGGGAGGCGGCUGCCAGGCCUCAGUCAGGUUGUUCGGCAGUGAGCCUCCUGUCCUCACGGAGCCUGUGCCGCAGAACCAGCCAUGGCUUCUGCACUCCCUGCAGUGGCCAGGAGCCGGGCCAAGGAGGGAUCAAAACUGCAUGGAGACUGGUGCAGCCGUGGCUCCCACAGCCCUUCUGGUGUAAAGCACACCCAGGGUGGACUGCACAUCCCCUCUGUCCACACUGCAGGAGGGAGAAGUACACUUCCCCUCGAUUACCGUGCGGGCCACCCUGCUGGUGAUGAGGCCGUCCAGAGGGGCCCAGAGUGUCGGGAGUCGGAGCCGAGGUGGGAAGCAAAUGCAGCAACUGUCACACUCAGAACCCUCCCCUGGGGGGGGCUAGGAAGUCCCGGCGCCUGAGGCCCCCUUCCCCCUGGGUUGAGUGCUCUGCAAGGCGAGGUCAGGCCAGUGGGUCCUCUGCCUCAGUCUGGCCGCAGCACGGAGGACAGGGGUUUAUCCUCGAGGCCAGCAGGCCCGAGGCCCCAGGCGCUUCCGGCCCGCACGCUGUCCUGAGCCGCAGACGGAGGCCUCAUUGUCCUCGUGGAUGGAGGGCAGGAAGACCCAGGCCGCACUCGGCUCGGGGCUCCCAGGGACAGCAGCUCCCAGGACAGGGCAGGGCAGGGGACAGCCCCAAGGCUCCCUGCUGCCUGGGGACCUGAUGCACCUGUAACAGCCUGUCCCUGCCUGGAGAGCCUGGUGGCUCAGGGGUGGCUCAGGGCAGCCUCCCGGCCCUGGGCCCUGGCUCAAGGGGCCACAGACUCAGUGUCCACACCCGCAGGAGACGGCUGACGCCCUGCCCUUCACGGGUCUCAGCCUGUGACACACAGCCAGAGGCUGCUCCCCGCCCUUGGGGAGCUUAGAGGUCAGCCCUGUCCCCUUCACUUAUUUAAGAAGCACUGGGCCGUGCACUGAGGCACACUUGUAAUCUCCACUACUCGGGAGGCAGAGGCAGGAAGAUCGCUUCAGCUCAGGAGUUCAAACCAGCCUGGGCAACAGUGAGAUUCCUUCUCUAAUAAAUGAGUGAAUAAAAUUAAAAACAAAAAGCACCUUUUAAAACCCUGCUGGCUGCAGCAGACAGAGAAGUCGGGCAGAUGCGCAUGUCCUCUGCAUGGGCAGCGAGGCAGCCCCCGUCUGUGGCUCUGCUGAGCCAUGCUGCUCCGGUGACGCCUGUCCCGCUGUCUCUCAGGACAAGACAUCAAGUCAGACGGCUUCAGCAUCGAGACCUGCAAGAUCAUGGUGGACAUGCUGGACUCGGACGGGAGCGGCAGGCUGGGGCUGAAGGAGUUCUACAUCCUGUGGACGAAGAUCCAGAAGUACCAGGUGGGACCCCUGGGGUCUGGUGGGGACACUGUGGCUGUUCCUCCUGGAGGGGAGGGACAUCUCCAGGGGACAGACUUCCCCGUCACGGAGCUCGAGGAAACAGCAAUGUGAAGACGGACAGACAGACCUGGGGGCCCACGCCCUGCACUCCCGGUGAAGUGGGUGCCAGGAGCCACCUCCAAGGGCUUCCUGAAAAGGGACCCUGGGUCCCUGGGCCUUCAGACUGCAACAGCUCAAGUACCAGCCCCGCUAAGGCCCUGAAUGGGCCCAUGGCAGCCGGCAGCCCUGUGACAGCCACACGUGGAAGGGACGGCCAGUGCCCGUGGCUACGUGAGCAGGGACCUGGGCGCCACGGCCAGGCCAAUGGGGCGCAGCCGGAACCAGUCUGCUUUGCUUCAGGUCAUGAUUUUCCCAACCCUCUUGUGUGUUCCAGAAAAUUUACCGGGAGAUCGACAUAGACAGGUCUGGCACCAUGAACUCCUACGAGAUGCGGAGGGCGCUGGAGGAAGCAGGUAACCCUGUCCCCGUCCUGUGUCUUGCCUGUCGAUGCUGGGCACUGGCUCUGCUCGGUUGCUGCUGCUCCCCACACGAACACCCGGCCCACUGUGGCCACACGGCCAGCUGGCCUUACAACACUGUGGCAGCCCUGCCUCCACGUGUGCUGGCAUCAGAGUCCCGGCCUGGCGGGGAGCACGGGCAGUGCGGGCCACAGCAGACGCCCACACCCCCCUUUCCUGCAGAGCUGGCCAGGCGGGAACAGCCUCCCAGCCCAGCCCUUCCCAGGCCCAGCUGUAGGUAAAGCGUGGUGCCCAGCAGCGGAGACUGGUGUGCUCGGGGACAACAGGACAAUGCCGAGUGCUGUUCGCGGGGACACAGCACCCCAACAGCAACCCCGAGGGCAGCCCGGGGUGGGAAGGGCACCUCCUGCCACCAGGCUCAGCAGCCCUGCCCACUUUCUCAGGGGUGCGGGCUGGCAGAGGGCUCCUUCCCAUCAGGGGCACUGCACACCCGCUCACAGCCACUGCCAGACCUCAGGCCUGACCUGGGGAGCUGCCAGAAGCAGGGCAGGCUCCGCGCUCCACCUCAGUGUGGAAAGAGGAAGUGGGCAUUAGGCUUCUCCACCAGAGAGAAAGUGGCUCCACGGUGAUUCCAAGCUCAACACGAAGGGGCGCGUGGCUGAUGUGAGGCAGCAAGACCAGAAGGGAGGGCGGCGCUAGCUGCCAGGACCAGCAGCAGCAGCACCGGCUUUGGGAAGCAAUGCCAGCCUUAGCACAGCACAGGUCGGGGCCGCUGUGGGCGCUGCAGGUGGCAGGCCUUCCCGGCAGUGUUGGUCACUUGCCCGCCCGCAGGGUUCAGGCUUCCUUGCGAACUGCACCAAGUCAUCGUUGCCCGGUUUGCAGACGACCGAGCUCAUCAUCGACUUUGACAACUUCGUCCGGUGCCUGGUUCGGCUGGAGACGCUGUUCAGUACGUGCUGCCUGGGGAGCACCAGGGUCCUGCUCUGCAGAGCUGCCGUCCCUGGGCACGGUCACCUGACCAGAGGCGGCUGCAGGAGCCGCGCCCACCGGGGUGGAGGGAGGACCGGCCGGGCCGUGGCCUCCUCAGUGACUGACGGGCCGGCCGCAGUGCUCUCAGCCCUCGCACGGCUCCCUUCUCCCCACAGAGAUAUUCAAGCAGCUGGACCCCGAGGACACCGGGACCAUCCAGCUGGACCUCAUCUCUUGGCUGUGUUUCUCGGUGCUGUGAAGGGGUGCCCAGCACGCCUGGAGGCUACAGAGGACCCAGGGACUGAGUCUGGACACCUGGAUCGGGCUUGGCACUGUGGGACAUUACGUACACUGAGGACUGUAGCUGAGAACACUGUCUGAGAUAGCCAGACUGUCCCGCCAGGUAGAAGGUUUGCUUAUUAUACAAGUGCAAGUGAGCUGCUUAACCCCUGACAAGCCCAAAGGAAGCCUACACCUACAAACAGUACCCACUUUUCACUUUGACACGCUUUCCUGUUCGGAGCAAUGCUAAACCAGGAGGACAAGGAGGUGUUUUAAAUCAGUCUCCAGGCCAAGAGUAACGGGGAUGCUGAGUUUUAAAAUGCAGAGGUGGCGGCGUCGCCCCCCCAGCAGCCCAGGGACAGUGGCCUCAGCAAGGCAGCGAGAGCCCGGGGAGGAAAGCGCCCUCCUCAUGGGCCAGAUGAGAGCAGGGCGUGCACAGUGCUCAGGUCCUUGUACACGCUCAGCCCUGGGCCUUCACAGGGUCCCACACGUGACUGGUGAGGCUGUGGCCAAGCCAGGCUGGUUGCAAACUGAGGGCUAAGACCCUGGCCCUGCACUCCGUGUCCUCGGUGCCUUUCCGUGGUGAGGGAGGGCGUCCUGGAGGAGACGCCGCAGCUGCUUCUGGGCCUGACCUCGGGAAAGCUGCGACACUAAAACCAUUGCCUUUGCCUUACCACCUUCCUAGUGUCCUGUUGAAUAAAGUUGCCCGACAGCCACCCCGCGCUGUGUUUUCUUCCCCGGGGGCACCUGAGGGGCG